rnacentral:snoRNA from 1 species
UCGUGUGAUGAGGUAAUUUGCGAUUGAUUCCACGCAGAUGGCACUCUCGCCGGAGUCGCUAUAUCUCGUGUGAACUUGAUAGUUAAUUUCUUACAUAUUCUGACC